rfam:Glossina palpalis gambiensis isolate 146720 unplaced genomic scaffold Scaffold67, whole genome shotgun sequence.
GUCAGGAUGGCCGAGCGGUCUAAGGCGCCAGACUCAAGUUUAAUAACUUGCCUGUAUUUGAAUAGGUUUUUGAAGUGAGCGUUCUGGUCCUCUUUGAGGGCGUGGGUUCGAAUCCCACUUCUGACA